GUGUUUAGCUCAGUUGGUAGAGCGACGGCCUUACAAGCCGUAGGUCACAGGUUCGACCCCUGUAACAC
rnacentral:tRNA from 1 species